rnacentral:rRNA from 1 species
GAUCAUGGCUCAGGAUGAACGCUGGCGGCGUGCCUAAUACAUGCAAGUCGAACGCUUCACAUAUGUGAAGAGUGGCGAACGGGUGAGUAAUACAUAAGUAACCUGGCCUUUACAGGGGGAUAACUGUUGGAAACGAUAGCUAAGACCGCAUAGGUAUCAUAACCGCAUGGAGAUGAUAUGAAAUAUGCUAACGGCAUAGGUAGAGGAUGGGACUUAUGGCGCAUUAG